rnacentral:lncRNA from 12 species
AUGGAAAUGAUGGAUGUGACUCCCUUCUCAGGAGCAUCACAGAGAAUAAAUAAGGAGACUGAACAAAAAGAGCACAAGACAUUGGGGGCUUCGUCCAUAUCAGAAGGGACUCCUCAGAACCACAGGGGGCCUGGGAUGGAUGGACCUGUUCGAACCCUGAACUUAAAGAGGAAAGACCUUCAUUUUCUUGGCCUCCUUGCAUCCCCUCCCAUCCUAUCUAGCUCUUUCCCCCUUCCCUGGAGCUCCUGAGAGAGCAAUUGCAAAUGACCUCAGCUUGGCUGGGUCUGUUGGGGGACAGGCCCAGGGAUUUGGGAUCAGGAAGACCUGGGGUGCGGGCAUACGGGCUGUGCAUCGGGAUUUGAUGCUGCAGACUCAUUCCCUAAGGCUAUCUUGACAACUGACUUUGUACAUAGAAAAGCUCUCCUUUAUCUUUAAAAGAUGAAGAGCCAGUCAAAGCCUUUUUUCUCUGCCCAUCUGAUUGCUCAGAUUCCAAUGUGAGACGUAUUUCCUGUUAAUAAGGAUAAUUUACUAUCCAUAGUACUAUGGUUAAAAUAUUCUGACACAAGCAAUUCAGAGGGAUGAGGGUUUCUCAUCUCUUUCUUCACAGCUCAGUCACUCCUCAGGAAAUGCAUCCUUAAUGGAUUUGGAAAGAACUGAGAGACAUUAUUACCAAUGGUCCUAUUAUUAUGUGAAGGAUCCUUCCCUGAGAUUCUUCCCCUGUUUCAACUGACACUGAAACGCUGUGAACUCUUUGCAAGACAAAUGUCAAGGAAAUAAAUGUUAUGCAUUGCUAAUUUUAAAUGCA